rnacentral:misc_RNA from 1 species
CCUUGUAAUUCUCUUCCAACCCUUUUCUUCUAUUUGUCAGUUUUUGCUUCUUUCAUUCAUGGGUUAGAUUAUUUUUUCCCUUUUGCCUCGAUUCUCGUAAUGGAGUGGGAUAGUAAUUCGGAUCUCAGUGGGGACGAGGAUGACGGAUUCACGCUUAACGAUGAUGCUGAUUCUGGUGGUGCUGCUGGUCCGCUCCCUUUCCCUGUUGAGAAUUUGCUCCAAACGGCGCCUUGUGGGUUCAUUGUCACUGAUGCGCUCGAGCCUGACCAUCCUAUUAUCUAUGUCAACACUGUUUUUGAGAUGGCUACUGGCUAUCGAGCUGAGGAAGUGCUUGGGCGUAACUGCCGCUUCUUGCAAUGUAGAGGUCCAUUUGCCAAAAGAAGGCAUUCAUCGGUGGAUUCAACAGUGGUUGCAGAAAUAAGAAGACACCUUGAGGAGGGCAUUGAAUUUCAAGGUGAAUUAUUGAACUUCAGAAAAGAUGGAUCUCCUCUAAUGAACAGGUUGCAGCUUACUCCAAUAUAUGGAGAUGAUGAAACAAUAACUCAUGUUAUUGGAAUCCAAUUCUUCACAGAAGCAACUAUUGAUCUAAGUCCUGUGCCGGGUUCUUCAUUAAAGGAGCGUGCAAAAUCAGCUGAUCGAUUUCGUUCUGGUUUUUCUACUUAUUGUUCUAUCCCAGUACGGGACUGCAGUGUUUAUCGCGGGGUUUGUGGGAUACUGGAAUUGAGUGAUGAGGUGCUGUCUCUCAAAAUACUUUCACGUUUGACACCAAGAGACAUUGCAUCUGUAGGUUCAGUCUGUACGCGACUCUAUGAGCUGACUAAGAAUGAGGAGCUUUGGAGAAUGGUUUGCCAGAAUGCUUGGGGUAGUGAAACUACUCGUGUUUUAGAGACUGUGCCUGGUGC